AUGUGUCCUGUUUGAACAGGGUAGCUUCUCUAAUGUAGCCAAAGGCAGAUACUAUCUUUGUAUUUUAAACCUGCAUGCACCUCGUUUUCCAAUUUAGGAGGUUUACCUGCAUGGCCUCAUCUGUCCUCUCUACCUCCAGGGACUCUGCCAGAGAUCCCACAGAGAAAUCUCCUCAGGUGGGCUGGCGACAACAGUGGAUGCAGACUGCAGUCAAUACACUCAUAG